AGUUCAAACCUUUCGAAUUCUCAAACAUCAAACACUGGAGAAGAGAAUUAGGGGAUGUCCUCUUCUUCAACAACUUUCGAGAUCCCAUACCAUCAUCAUCAUCUCCACGAGAUUCUAACCAAGAAUCUCAUACUCUCUUCAUCAACAUUGAUUCCGCAUAUAUGCAAAGAGAUGACCUUCGAAUUGUCAAGCAGCUACAAUCGCCGUCAACUCCACAAAUAGUCAUGCUCAACUGCAUUGGGAAAAAGUUCUAUCAACUCUCCAUGCUUUUUUCCAGCAAUUUGUCUUCUGUUGAUGUAAGUGAGGUCGACUCGGUGAUGUGGCUUAUAUCUUAACUUUUUUAAGGCCACAGAGUUUUGUUUUACAAUAGUUGUGUGCUUCAACAAGUAAAAUAUGCCUUUGGUCAUAAGAAAAAAUUUGCAGGUAUCUUUAGGCGUGAAGAAACUCCUCUGUUUCAAUCAAUGUUUUUCAAGUUAGAAGUUUCAAAACAUAUAAUUAUUAAUAAAGAAGUGAAGUUUAUGUACAUUAUCUACUAGCAUUUUCUACUCAAUCAAUAAAAUAAUGCCUUUUGGUCAUCAGAAGAAAGUUGCAGAUACUUCUUGCAUGUAACGCUAGCCAGCCAGAUGGUAAGCUAGACCUCAUUUUCAUGAAGGAACUGUUCUGUUUCAGUAACUUUCGUCUUUCUCAGGUUCGAAGUUUCAAAACAUAUAUUUAUUAAUAAAGGACCAGAGUAUAUGCAUAUAAUCUACUAACAUUUUCUAUUCAGGUGAUGUGAAACAUGGUUCUGUGGACUUGAACUAUCAACUGCCUCUUUCAUUUUCUAUUCUCUUAAAACGACUGGCUUCAAUCACUCGUCAACAGGCGGAAGAAGGGAUCAGGCUGAUUUCAGGAGCUGGACCUGAAGUUGAGAAGCUUCAGAGCAAUUUCCUGGCCAAUCAAGUUGUGCUUGCUGAUGCUGAGGACCGCCAAGUGAAGGAAAACUUUGGUUAGACAAGCUCAUAGACGAUGUGUUGGAUGUGUGGAACUCAAAGCUUCAGAAAUUACAAAUUAAGAAAGCUCGAAAUGCUUGUAAGCCUCUGAAAAAGCUGCAGCAACCAGGAAAUCCUGCACUGGAGACUUCUUGUGAAAGAAAUGUUGAAUAUCAGGCACCACUUGAAUUUUAAAACUGAUAAGGUUCCAUCAGCUUGCCAUGUUAUGUUGUUGGAUGUGAAUUGGACCAGGUAACCUGGCCAUAGGGACUCUUACAUGUUCUUGUAUCUAUAAUUUUGUAACAAAUUAUUACUCAAAGGUCAGCUUUUGUUUCUUUUCUUUUCAAGCUGCAACAAACAGUUAUGACUCAAUACAUAUCUUGUGAAGAAAUGUUUAAUAUCAAGCCCCAUUGCGAUGUCAAAAGGUUCCAUCA